UGCAUUUAUUAGAACAAAACCAAGCGGCUUCGGCUGUCUUCGGUUGACUCAUAGUAACUGAGCUGAUCGCAUGGUCUUGUACCGGCGACGUGUCUUUCAAGUAUCUGCCGUAUCAACUUUCGAUGGUAGUGUAUCUGACUACCAUGGUGAUCACGCGUAACGGAGAAUAAGGGUUCGGCUCCGGAGAGUUCGCCUGAGAAAUCGCGAACACAUCUAAGGAAGGCAGCAGGCGCGAAAAUUACCCACUCUCAGCACGAGGAGGUAGUGACGAAAAAUAACGAGACCGUUCUCUUAUGAGGCCGGUCAUCGGAAUGGGUACAAUUUAAACCCUUUAACGAGUAUCUAUGAGAGGGCAAGUCUGGUGCCAGCAGCCGCGGUAAUUCCAGCUCUCAAAGUGCAUAGAAUUAUUGCUGCGGUUAAAAAGCUCGUAGUUGGAUCUGUGCCAUAGGACGUGGUCCACCUUCUGGUGCGUACUGCGCUCCUAGGCUUUUUGCUGGUUUUCCCGUCGUAGCCUUCACUGGUUGCGGCGGGUGGCUGGCGAGUUUACUUUGAGAAAAUCAGAGUGCUCAAUACAGGCGUAUCGCUUGAAUGAUUGUGCAUGGAAUAAUAGAAAAGGAUUUCGGUCCUCUUUUAUUGGUUUUGUGGACUGAGAUAAUGGUUAACAGGGACAAACGGGGGCAUUCGUAUCGCUGCGUGAGAGGUGAAAUUCUUGGACCGUAGCGAGACGCCCUACUGCGAAAGCAUUUGCCCAAGAAAUGUCUUCAUUAAUCAAGAACGAAAGUCAGAGGUUCGAAGGCGAUCAGAAAACGCGCAAAAAGAAA
rnacentral:rRNA from 1 species